rnacentral:tRNA from 1 species
GGUCUUGUGGUGUAGUUGGUCAUCACGGCGGUCUAGCAGCUUCCGAUAUCACCCUCGGUUGUCUGAGAAUACUGAAGGUCUCCGGUCCAAGUCCGGGCUGGUCA